GACAGAGGGUGCAAGCGUUGUUCGGAAUUACUGGGCGUAAAGGGCGCGUAGGCGGUCCGCUAAGUUCGGCGUGAAAUCCCCUGGCUCAACUGGGGAACGGCGCUGGAUACUGGUGGACUCGAGUACCGGAGAGGAGAGUGGAAUUCCUGGUGUAGCGGUGAAAUGCGUAGAUAUCAGGAGGAACACCGGUGGCGAAGGCGGCUCUCUGGACGGAUACUGACGCUGAGGCGCGAAAGCGUGGGGAUCGAACAGG
rnacentral:rRNA from 1 species